AGCUUGUCAUUUCAGUGUGAGUUGAGAUUGUUGGACCCUGUUGUGGCCGAUAUGUUUCCUCUAUCUAGUGAUUUCUCAAUGAAUUUGCAAAAUCACUCAUCAACUUUUGAAGUUUGUUUUUAUAAACAGACACACAAAUAGGUGGUGUAAAACCCAUGGAUAUUUGUAUAACGAAAUCAAGUAUAAAAUGUCGCUUUUUUUAAUCACUCUUGGCAUUGUUCUGAUGAUGUUGCUGCUUACAUAUUGAAAAAUGACUUAGUUAGUAUGUACUUCUUGUGCUGUACCAACUCACCUUCAAAUGUUAUUGCACUCGGACACCGUCUCUUGCGUUCAACACUUAGUAUGCAAAUCCUUGAAAACUCCGUACAGCAGCAUUCGUCGUUUCUUUCGGCAUUUCAGAAUUGAGCAACUGUGAAUUUAUUCGUUUUUACAAUUAUUCCGAUUGCAAACUUGUUUGUUAUAGUUAGUAGUAAGAUCCGGUUUUCGGUCGUUUCAAUGUCAACGUCCAUGCCAUAUUUGACGUUCAAGAACUAUCCCACAAUGAGCAAACCGAGUGAUGUUGCAAAGACAAGAACAAGAGUUUUAUUAAAAGACAGGGCGAUUCGAUCCGAUCUAAAAGAAAAAAAAAAGACCAGUUCUCUUGAACGUGAGCGAGUAAGAGUUAUAAAUUUUUCCUUAUGUAUCCAGUCAACAGUUUGUUUAGAAGCCGUUCAUUUGAAUAAUGAAGUAGGUGUAAUAGGUAAGCUAUACGUUGUUCUUAUUCUUUUAUCAAAAUAAAUGUGACUGAAUUGACUUUAAAUCAAAUGAACUAUUUAUUAAUCUUUUUGUUUUUGCAGUUUUCAAUCAAUAGGAGUGGAAUUUAACAUUUCAGAUUACUAAUAGUAGCAACUACAUGUUCAUGUUAUAUAACCUUAAGUGUCGUUGACUUUUUUUUUAGUCGUCACGACACUUGCAAAUUUGAUAGAAUUUUAUCACGAUAGAUUCACCGCUGGACAAGUCUUAAAUAAUAAUAAUUAAUAACCAAAAAAUACACCAGCAAGAUAACGAGAACUUAUUCUACUCCCGAAUUAAGAGUAUAGAAGGCUAGCAACUUGAUUUGCAUUUCGAUCACGAUGAAGGUCGAGAGACAAGAACAUGAGAGCGCAAUUGAACAAUUCCUCUGUUGAGGGUUGAUUUACCCAAGUUAGACGGACCGACUACAGAAACCCAUCGUACCUACCUUGCGGCACCGCAAAUAAGCAACUUUUCUAUUGCAACUUAUUUUAUUUCACUCCUUUAAAUUAGUUUCAAAAGGCGUUGGCUCGAUUAACGUACGCAGUAUAUGCAAAUUCUUCCAAAUCUGAAUCAGGGCGUUACCUUGAGCGUCCUCAAUUCCUGCAAUAUAAAGAAAGCCCCACUCGGGAGUUAAUCAGACGUCUCGUCGAAGUACAAACAACACAACCUUCAGGCAAAAAUCGAGGAAAAUGAUCCAAAGAGAUUUUACAGAAAUCAUCCUGUUUUUCGCGACAGUGAUUCUACUGGGCAGCUUCAAUCCUGUCGCUGGUUUCUUCCUUCCCCAAGUCACUCGUACAGAUGACGCCGUCGUCAUCGAUUUUUCAGUUAAGGGAUCGGAAUAUGCUGAUCCUAUUGACAGAAGGAACGUCUAUGAAGAAAUUCUCAAUCCAGUAUUCGUUCCGCUGCCAUUUUUCGAUCCUUACGCAAUGACGAAUCAUCCUUGGUAUAAUGGAUGGUCUUAUUCUUUUGGAUUCCCUGGUCUCAGCACCCGGGCAGAUACCCGUGAAGGUGCCCCAUCUGCUAGGCAGUUUGAUGGCGAAGAAGAAGAAGAAGAAGACUUUGGCGAGAAGCAGGACGUAAAACAACUACAAAUUUCAGGAACGACAACAACAACAGCAAGACCAACGACAAGGACAACAAGGUCACCAACAACGACAACAAGAUCAGCAACAACGA